rnacentral:ncRNA from 2 species
AUUUCCAAAUAGGGGUGCCUUAAUAUUAAGGGCUGAGAUCAUACCCAAUGAACCUGAUCCAGGUAAUUCUGGCGUAGGGAGAAAAGGUUUUUUAUUGU